CCUACGGGGGGCAGCAGUGGGGAAUAUUGCACAAUGGGGGAAACCCUGAUGCAGCGACGCCGCGUGAGUGAAGAAGUAAUUCGUUACGUAAAGCUCUAUCAGCAGGGAAGAAACACUGACCUUACGGUCAGCAGACGGUACCUGAGUAAGAAGCCCCGGCUAACUACGGGCCAGCAGCCGCGGUAAUACGUAGGGGGCAAGCGUUAUCCGGAUUUAUUGGGUUUAAAGGGUGCGCAGGCGGAAGAUCAAGUCAGCGGUAAAAUUGAGAGGCGCAACCUCGUCGAGCCGUUGAAACUGGUUUUCUGGAGUGAGCGAGAGGUAUGCGGAAUGCGUGGUGUAGCGGUGAAAUGCAUAGAUAUCACGCAGAACACCGAUUGCGAAGGCAGCAUACCGGCGCUCAACUGACGCUCAUGCACGAAAGUGUGGGUAUCGAACAGGAUUAGAUACCCCAGUAGUC
rnacentral:rRNA from 1 species